rnacentral:lncRNA from 1 species
CAUGGGGUCUCUAGGGCUUGCUACCCAGCCUGUCUGGCUGCUUUACAGCAUGCUCUUGGUAAGCCCACCAUUUCCUCAGCUAGAGGGCAAGACCUACCUACCUUGUAGUUCUUGGUGCCAGCAGCCUGGGAGAGGAUGGCACAACCACUGCCAGCCACCGAAGCUGGUAAACACACUCUCACACACCCUUCUCUUUCCUCUUUCAUUUAUGUGUGUGGAUGGUUUUACCUGGGUGUAUACAGAGCAUGCCUGGUGCCCAGAGUCCAGAAGAGGGUGUUGGACCUCUGAAACUGCAGCUACAGAUGGUUGUGAGGUCAUGCGGGUGCUGGGAAUUGAAUCCAGGUCCUCGCCGAGAGCAGCCAAUGUUCUAACUGCGGCGGCAUCUCUCCUCCCCCUCUUUAAUGCCUAGACUCACAAGGCAGAGCUUCGGAGAUUAAGUCUUUAUUUAUGGAUUUAAUAACUGCACAGAAGAAUGAAACGUAGAUGCUGGUGUGUAUCAUCGAAAGGGCAGCAGAGGGAGAAGGGAACAAGGGAGCACUCUCAGCCCCAGCUCACCAGAACCACCGACGGCCACCUCCCUUUGCAGAACAGUUCACGGGGCCUCUGGGGUCUACCCCCUUGAAUAUUUGCCUCUCUGAGAACAGAUUCCCUGACCACAGCUCAGAUGCUCAUGGAGGAACAAGUCAGAUUCUCCUUUCUGGGCACUUUAGAAAUGACAGAUCAGAGAAUUUAGAUCUGGGCACUCUCCCUCUCCAAUUUAAAAAAAAAAAA